AAAAAUCCAAAACAUCCCAGAUUUGGCCCGCACAAGAGAGUGGAAGAUCCACAACUUUUGAGGGAUGAACGCAAACUACAGCGCACAGCUAACUCUGGAACAAUCGCAUGGCGGCUUGUUUGUUCUGGAUAGAAUGGGAAUGUAAAGCCUGGAAACGUACAGGAAUAGCCACUGCGGACAGAGCAUUCGUUGGUGUCAGGAGUAAAACCUCCGCACUGUGAGAACUGCAGACCUGUAGUUCAACGGGACAAGCCAGGGGCCUGGCACUAGUUAAGCAUCGCAGACAUGUAGCUGCUCUUUGAAUAUGAAUAUGCAUUAUACUAAUGGAGAGGAUAAAAAAAAAAGUGCGUCCAUGUACAUAAAAACAAACGUUUAACGGCAUUAUUAUCUUAUUUUAACAUCAAAACAUUCAUGAAAUACUUCUUUGUUGUUUAGAAAGUUGCAUGUGGGUUAAAAGACGGGAGAUUUUAAUGUACAUUUGACUUAUAAAAAUAAAACAAGACAGAUCAUUAUUUGGGGGGAAUAAAUGCGGGACAAUUUAUUUACUUAUGCAUUAAUUCACUGCAAGCAGUCUUUAUUUGUGUACAGACUUUAUUUACUUACAUAUUUAUACUUUUCAUUUAGGUGCAAUUUAUUCAUGAAAUCCACUUUGAUUCUUAUGGGUUCUGUAUAAUUUCAUUCGUGCAAAUUUUAUUUAUGACUCUCUCUCUCUCUCUCUAUUUAUAUAUAUAUAUUAUCUAUAUAUAUAUAUAUAAAGUCACAGUUUUAUAUACAAACUAGCGGCUGACGCUAGUUUGUAAAACUGUGACUUUAGUUUGUGACACGCUUUCUUUCCAAAACGAUGAAGGAGAGGAGUGGAACCCUUCAAUAACUUGAUCACUCACAAAAUAAACACCUACACUUAAAAAAAGCAAUUAUUGACCUUCAGACGGGGAUUGUUGCCCACAUUCGUGCAGCAUUCAGGACUUCGCUGAUGGGAACUCAGCUGCAUUCAAUUAGCCUUCAUCUAAUUUAGCUGAGGCCCUAAUUGCGCUCAGGGUGGUAGUUGUUUGCGCUAAGCCCCGUUUGAGGCUUCUGUUGAGAGAAGUAGGAGAAGAAGUAAAAGAAGAAGAAGAAGAAAGAACAAUCUCAAUUCAAAUGAGACUUAUCUACGCCACAACGAUCAGACGGAUUAAGACUUAUUAAAACCUAUAAAGGGCUAAAAGCAGAAGAUUCCACAGAUACAAAGUCCACAGCGUGGCGACUCCAGAGGAUUUCUCUGCAAUCACAAUGAAAUUACGAAGAAAAAAAAUACAAACAAAUUAUAUAGACAUCAUGUAGCUGCAGUGCAAUGUGCGAGGAAUAAAUAAAAGGGGAAAUGAUUCGUGUGAAGGCAAAUAUUUAGUCAAAAAAGGGUCAUCAUAAUUUAGGCAAUUUGGAGAACCCAUGCAAUAAGAUUCAAUUAUUAAUUGCUGAAUAGAACUCCAAACAUCUGGAUUGCUUUACGAUGUUUAACUUCAGUUUCAGAUCGUAUUUGUUUUGUCUUAUUUUCACAUUUUAACAGGUGUAAAUCUCAGCUUAAAAAUCUUAGUCAGUUACCGACUGACUUUUGUUUCUGUUUCCACUCCUACAUCCUGCCUUUUAACCCACUCUUAGCUUCUAAUAUUUUCUAUGUCGGCUGCCAUGCUCUUGGGCGACCCAGGAUAAGAAAAGAAAAAAAGAA